GUCAAGUUAGUUUAAUAAAAAAUAUCAGCCUGUGGAUUUGAAGAUGAAAUUAAUUUUCACUUGACC
rnacentral:tRNA from 1 species